GACAGAGGUGCCGAGCGUUAGGCGGAAUCACUGGGCUUAAAGCGUGUGUAGGCGGACCGUUAAGUACCUUGUGAAAUCCCCCGGCUCAACCGGGGAACGGCUGGGUAUACUGGCGGUCUUGAGCCAUCCAGGGGCAGUCGGAACAGACGGUGGAGCGGUGAAAUGCGUAGAUAUCGUCUGGAACGCCGAAGGUGAAAACAGACUGCUGGGGAUGCGCUGACGCUGAGACACGAAAGCCAGGGGAGCGACGGG
rnacentral:rRNA from 1 species